rnacentral:rRNA from 1 species
UACGGGGGGAGCAAGCGUUGUUCGGAUUUACUGGGCGUAAAGGGCGCGUAGGCGGUCACGACAAUUCAGUUGUGAAAUCUCCGGGCUUAACUCGGAACGGUCAGCUGAUACUGUCGGACUAGAGUGCAGAAGGGGCAACUGGAAUUCUCGGUGUAGCGGUGAAAUGCGUAGAUAUCGAGAGGAACACCUGCGGCGAAGGCGGGUUGCUGGGCUGACACUGACGCUGAGACGCGAAGGCGUGGGGAGCGAACGGG